rnacentral:rRNA from 1 species
UGGGGAAUAUUGGGCAAUGGACGCAAGUCUGACCCAGCAACGCCGCGUGAAGGAAGAAGGCUUUCGGGUUGUAAACUUCUUUUGUCAGGGAAGAGUAGAAGACGGUACCUGACGAAUAAGCCACGGCUAACUACGUGCCAGCAGCCGCGGUAAUACGUAGGUGGCAAGCGUUGUCCGGAUUUACUGGGUGUAAAGGGCGUGCAGCCGGGUGUGCAAGUUAGAUGUGAAAUCUGGAGGCUCAACCUCCAAACUGCAUUUAAAACUGUGCAUCUUGAGUGUCGGAGAGGUAAUCGGAAUUCCUUGUGUAGCGGUGAAAUGCGUAGAUAUAAGGAAGAACACCAGUGGCGAAGGCGGAUUACUGGACGAUAACUGACGGUCAGGCGCGAAAGCGUGGGGAGCAAACA